ACGUCAAGUCAUCAUGCCCCUUAUGACCUGGGCGACACACGUGCUACAAUGGGCGGCACAGAGCGAAGCGAGCCUGCGAAGGUAAGCGAAUCGCGAAAACCGUUCUCAGUUCGGAUCGGAGUCUGCAACCCGACUCCGUGAAGUCGGAAUCGCUAGUAAUCUCGGGUCAGCAUACCGAGGUGAAUACGUUCCCGGGCCUU
rnacentral:rRNA from 1 species